AAAGGGGAAGCCGAAAACCUGUAAGAGUAGGCG
rnacentral:ncRNA from 1 species